CGGGCAAUACUUACACCCUAAAGAGUGAAUGUGGUAACAGAGCAGUGCAAUGUGUGGAAUUACCAGCCCUUAGGCAUCCAAGUUCAGAGGGAGCUAUAUGGUCCCUAAGUAUGGCUUACCAGGGGUAGAACUUAAGAGCUUAGAGUAGGUGCAAAGUGAGAGAGGGAACUUAGCAGGAGGUGGUCAUACCAGCCAUGGCAUAGACUGGAACACCCUUUACCUACUACUCAGAUUCAAACAAAUGAGAGCAAACUCUUAUAGAGUCAAACUCAGGUCUGAGUGAUGAUGAGGACACCAACAGACCCAAAUUAGAGCUCAGCACAUUGAGGGGAAAGGGAAUGGGAAAACAAUCAAGUAAAGACUCAGAAAAGUCUAGUUCUGGAUCACAAACAGCAAUCCAUAGUGCUGCUAUGACCCAGGACAAUACUCAUAUACAAAGGGAAUAAAGGGAAAGGGAUUACCAUAACAUGAGAGACAUAGCAUGCCUGAAGGUAAUUAAAUAGUGCAGGAAGCAUAAAUAAACACAGAAAGAAAGGGGUAGAAGCAGAGAAGUUGAAUAAGGAUGUUAUUUAACAUAGAAGAAUAUACAUUAUAAAUUCCAACACACCAGAAUAGUAACAGCAAACAAACAGACAGGAAAAAACAAGAACAGACUCAAGAAACUCCCCAAGUGCUUACGAGUUCAAACAGCAGGAAGUACAGAUGUAGAAUGCUCAGUAGCAGUGUAGAGAAAUAGAGAGUAGUAAUAAUAAUAGAAAAGAAGACAGAGAGGCGAAUUCUGAUUUUGGUUUGCAGUCAGAAUUCGAUGAUGAAGUGAAAAGAAGAGCAUGUAUUUAUACUUGAAAUCAGGCAUGCAAGCAAGGAAAGAAGAUGUAUCAAUUAAUAUUGAUCAAUUAACAGAGGUUCCUUUAAGUAAGGAAUCCCAAUUUGAUCAGUAAAGGACAAAAAAUAUUUAAGGAAAGGGGAUGAAAUAAACAACAUGUGCACAGUAUACAAAUAAGGGUGAAUAUAUGAAAGUUAUAAGGAAAUUUUUUUUAUGAAAUACACGGUUUGUGUAAAUAAGGUAAGAAGGCAAAUUAACAAACAGUAAUCCAAAGGUCUGAGAUUUUAUAUGAAUGAAUCCAGUUUGAAAAAGAGAAGGGUUUUACUUAGGUCGGGUCGUGGGCAAAAAAUUGAAAGAAAUCAAUCAAACUGUAUUCAGAAGAGAUUUUGAACUAAUUGCAAAUUUGAAAGACCAUUUUAGGGGGGAGGGGGAAAUCAUAGUAUAUAAGAAGCAUACAAAUACUUCAAACACGAAAGAAAAAAAAUCUUGCUUUUGGCAAAAAGGUCAUAACCAUAUGAAAACAGAGAUGACUUUCAGAAAUUAAAAUCAAACUAGUUUAGAGGUGAGAACAUGAAACUCACAUACACGUGGUCUGAAAACCCCCAAAUUCUAGGGUUUUAGUCAUUAGUCUAGUGUAGGGACGAAAACGAACAAAUCAAGCAAGAGCAAACUUAGAAAACCCAAAGGAACUUAAUUGUUCCGUCAAAGCAUGCCGAGGGAAAACACAGUAGAAGAAAAUAGAAGCAAACAUUAGGAACAACAUAGUAGAAGAAAUUGUUCCGUGAAGACAUGCUGAGGGAAAACACAGUAAAAGAAAAAAGAAGGAAACAUUAAGAAGAAACAUAGUAUAAUAAAGAACAUAGGAGUCAAAGUAUCAACAGACAGGAAUCACAGUAAGACGAGUACAGUAAGAACAUCACGUAAAAUCACAGUAGAACAAAUAAAAUCAAAGAAACCCUAAAUCGGAGAAGAUGAAUAGUUUUGAAAGAAAACUUUUGAGAGAGAUUUAAGGAAUCAUUUCAAAACCUUAAAACAAACAUGGAUCUAUAGCAGAUCUAGAGAAAUAUAGGAAAACCUCGAAGGGCUAGGGUUUCAGAAGAACCCUAGAAGUGAGAAGGGCCUAGAAAAGGGUAUGCUCUAAGCCAGGUGAGCCAGAGAUAGGCUCAUAGGACCAGGACAUGCCAAAGAUAACCGUGAAACUUGAAUCGUUGACGAUCUGAGUGAAUUCCUUAACGGUCAGACCUUGAAUCUUCUAGUAGCAGGUGUACAAGAGCACAUGGAGGUGAGUAUAGGCCACCUAGGGCCUGGGGAUGCCAUGGAUUCCAGUGAAACAUUGUGGAAACGGUGGAAGAAGGCUAGUGUUUCAGAGGGGCUAGAGAGAGUUUGAGUGGGCAAGGUUUGAGGGUGGCUGUC
rnacentral:lncRNA from 1 species